AGCGGUAGUUCAGUUGGUUAGAAUACCGGCCUGUCACGCCGGGGGUCGCGGGUUCGAGUCCCGUCCGCU
rnacentral:tRNA from 1 species